AGGGUUUGAUCCUGGCUCAGAACGAACGCUGGCGGCGUGGAUUAGGCAUGCAAGUCGACGAGGGCGAGAGCUUCGGCUCUCGAAUCGAGCGGCGAAAGGGUGAGUAAUGCAUAGGCAAUCUGCCCGCGAGUUCGGGAUAACCGCUGGAAACGGCGACUAAUACCGAAUUGCCCCGGUUGAAGACAUCUUCGGCCGGGUAAAGGGGGGGACCUUCGGGCCUCUCGCUCGCGGAGGAGCCUAUGUCCUAUCAGCUAGUUGGUGGGGUAACGGCCCACCAAGGCGAUGACGGGUAGCCGGGCUGAGAGGUUGACCGGCCACACUGGGACUGAGACACUGCCCAGACUCCUACGGGAGGCUGCAGUCGAGAAUCUUCCGCAAUGGGCGCAAGCCUGACGGAGCGACGCCGCGUGGAGGACGAAGGCCUUCGGGUUGUAAACUCCUGUCACGUGACGAGAAAUGUAAGGCGCUAACAUCGUCUUGCUUGACAACUCAUGAGAGGAAGUCACGGCUAACUCUGUGCCAGCAGCCGCGGUAAUACAGAGGUGGCAAGCGUUGUUCGGAAUCACUGGGCACAAAGGGCGCGUAGGCAGUUGAGCAAGUCGGGUGUGAAAGCCCUCGGCCUAACCGAGGAACUGCAUCCGAUACUGUUCGACUAGAGUGCGGUAGGGGAGAGUGGAACUCCUGGUGGAGCGGUGAAAUGCGUAGAUAUCAGGAGGAACGCCGGUGGCGAAAGCGACUCUCUGGCCCGUAACUGACGCUGAGGCGCGAAAGCCAGGGGAGCAAACGGGAUUAGAUACCCCGGUAGUCCUGGCCCUAAACGAUGGGCACUAGGUAGUGGAGGGUCCGAUCUCUUCACUGCCGGAGCAAAUGUGUUAAGUGCCCCGCCUGGGGAGUACAGUCGCAAGGCCGAAACUCAAAGGAAUUGACGGGGGCUCACACAAGCGGUGGAGGAUGUUGCUUAAUUCGAAGCAACGCGCAGAACCUUACCUGGGCUUGACAUGCUAGUGGUACGACCCUGAAAGGGUUAGGACCUGGUUUUCCAGGAGCUAGCACAGGUGUUGCAUGGCUGUCGUCAGCUCGUGUCGUGAGAUGUUGGGUUAAGUCCCGUAACGAGCGAAACCCUUGUCGUUAGUUGCCAGCGGGUAAUGCCGGGGACUCUAGCGAGACUGCCGGUGUCAAACCGGAGGAAGGUGGGGACGACGUCAAGUCAUCAUGGCCCUUACGCCCAGGGCUGCAAACGUCCUACAAUGGUCGGUACAAAGGGAAGCAAGACCGCAAGGUGGAGCGAAUCCCAAAAAGCCGGCCCCAGUUCGGAUUGUGGGCUGCAAUUCGCCUGCAUGAAGCCGGAAUCGCUAGUAAUCGCGGAUCAGCACGCCGCGGUGAAUAUGUUCCUGAGCCUUGUACACACCGCCCGUCAAGCCACAGGAAUCGGUAGCACCCGAAGUCGUUAGCCUAACC
rnacentral:rRNA from 1 species